rnacentral:rRNA from 1 species
AACGAACGCUGGCGGCAGGCUUAACACAUGCAAGUCGAGCGCCCCGCCAGGGGAGCGGCAGACGGGUGAGUAACGCGUGGGAACGUACCUUUUGGUUCGGAACAACUCCGGGAAACUGGAGCUAAUACCGGAUAAGCCCUAACGGGAAAGAUUUAUCGCCGAAAGAUCGGCCCGCGUCUGAUUAGCUAGUUGGUGAGGUAACGGCUCACCAAGGCGACGAUCAGUAGCUGGUCUGAGAGGAUGAUCAGCCACACUGGGACUGAGACACGGCCCAGACUCCUACGGGAGGCAGCAGUGGGGAAUAUUGGACAAUGGGCGCAAGCCUGAUCCAGCCAUGCCGCGUGAGUGAUGAAGGCCUUAGGGUUGUAAAGCUCUUUUGUCCGGGAAGAUAAUGACUGUACCGGAAGAAUAAGCCCCGGCUAACUUCGUG